rnacentral:lncRNA from 1 species
UCUCUUGUUCACGGAUUGAUUCCAACCUCCAGAAUCCCAGCAACGUAUCAACUUCCCGUGAUCAGCUCUCGCAUGAAUCCCGUGUUCUUAUCUCCCUUGCUUCGGAACAGCCACAGGAGGUAAAACAGGGGGCUGGUAAAGCUAUAUAAAGAGGGAAGUUCUGAUCGAAGGGGGCAUUCCAGGGGAGCCGGCUGAUCCCAUCCAUCCUUUGGAGGAGUUCCCAUGGGAGACAGAUGAGGGAGGAAAGAACCAGAGACGGGAGAAUGAAAGAAGAGAUGCAAGCCUCCUGUGCUGCUGCCGUCCACCACUACAUGGAAGCCUAAGCUCAUCACUAGGAUAGUUGAAGCCCUAACAAAGGGACA